GGCAGUGUAGUCUAAUGGUAAAGGAGUUGGUCUUGUAACCAAAAGGUCACGGGUUCAAGUCCCAGGUUGGACACUGCCG
rnacentral:tRNA from 1 species